GUUGAGAGAGUCUCCUGCGCUCAGGCUCUCACUUUCCUUGAACUUGAGCCUUCCAGGAAUGUCAAUGUCAAACAAGUGGACCUUCCUGUGGAUUGCGACAAGCUCUCCUGGGAUGAACGGUAUGCGGAAGUGGCUAUAACGUCAGCUGGAGGUCAUCCUACCCUGUGGGGAGUAGACGGUGGCCGUGUUAUAAAGUUUUCCAGUGAG
rnacentral:misc_RNA from 1 species